rnacentral:rRNA from 1 species
AGCGAACGCUGGCGGCGUGCCUAACACAUGCAAGUCGAACGUGAAAAGGGAAACCUGAGUAAAGUGGCGUACGGGUGAGUAACGCGUAGGUAAUCUACCCCAGAAUCUGGAAUAACCUGCCGAAAGGCGGGCUAAUACUGGAUAGAGCGAGGGAACUCGUAAGAGAGUUUUUCGGGAAAGGGAGCCCGCAAGGGCCUUCGUUCUGGGAUGAGCCUGCGUCUCAUUAGCUAGUUGGUAAGGUAACGGCUUACCAAGGCGAUGAUGAGUAGCUGGUCUGAGAGGAUGAUCAGCCACACUGGAACUGAAACACGGUCCAGACUCCUACGGGAGGCAGCAGUGGGGAAUCUUGCGCAAUGGACGAAAGUAUGACGCAGCCACGCCGCGUGAGUGAAGAAGGCCUUCGGGUUGUAAAGCUCUGUCGGAUGGGACGAACAUCUUCAUAGUGAAUAGCUAUGAGGACUGACGGUACCAUCAAAGGAAGCACCGGCUAACUCCGUG